UUGUAGCUCAGUUGGUUAGAGCGCGCGCUUGAUAAGCGUGAGGUCGGAGGUUCAAGUCCUCCCAGGCCCACCAGUUUAUCCAUUACUUUCAUAAGUGCUUUUAAAAAAUAAGUACUUCUAAAAAGAUUGCUUCUAAAAAGCUUAUCAAAAUUGGCAGGCUUAUUGCUUUUGUGUGAGUAAUCCAAAGUUAAAGCAAAUUAAUGGCAAAAAAACAGUUCAAAUGCUAAAUACUAAGGAGUCAAAAUUCCUUGCAAAGUGAUUUUUACAGCGUCCAUUUGGUUGAUAUAAAUUCCAAAUGCUCAUAGACGUCAAUGCCUAUAUGAAACUAUCGGUUCAAUCAUAUCGCUUUGAGUUAUAUAGAUUUUGUAAUCCCUCUUUUGAUCGUUUUAAACGCUUUAUUCUGAUUUAGGGGCCGUAGCUCAGCUGGGAGAGCACC
rnacentral:misc_RNA from 1 species